CACUCCAGCCUGGGCAACAGAGUGAGACUCCAUCUCAAAAUAAAGAUAAACUGGCAGGGUGGACUUGAUGUGAUGGCUGCUAGGAGCAAGGUGACAGGGAAGCAUGAAGGAUAGCGCUUUUCAAGCCUGGGAGAACAGGGAGGCCUUCACCAGAAGAGCUGCUGUGCAGCCAUUGGUACCUGUAUUGGGGAAACAUAGCAUACAAGCAAGACAGCUUACAGCCUUGGUAGCGAAAAUGUUUUCACAUCAGAGACCGAGAACUUUUGCAGUCGUUUAUGUCAUCCCUUCUUCUCCAGACAGAAGAUACCAAAAAGCCGCAAUCAAAGAUAUCUCCAUCUUAUUGAUAAAGCCACUAAUAAAGCCAAAAUGUCUGUCAAUGUCAACCACAGCGUGUCAGACCAGUUCUAUCACAAGAUGCCCUGUAUGAUUGCCAAGGUUGAGGGCAAAGAAAAUGGAAUCAAGACAGUUAUAGUCAACAUGAUUGACACCGCAAAGGCGAUUAAUCGGCCUCCAAGGUAUCCUACCAAAUAUUUUGGUGGAAUACAUUGUUACAUUGUGAAUGGAUCUCAUGAGGCCAAUAAGGUGCAAGACAUGUUGGAUGGAUUCAUUAAAAAAUUGUUGUCUGUCCUGAAUGUGAGAGUCCUGAAACAGAUAUGCAUGUCAAGCCAAAGCAGCAAACAAUAGGUAAUUCUUAUAAAGCCUGUGGCUAUCAAGGCAUGCUUGACACACACCAUAAACUCUGCACAUUCAUUCUCAAAAACCCACCUGAGAAUAGUGACAGUGGUACAGGAAAGAAAGAAAAGGAAAAGAAAAGUAGAAAGGGCAAAGACAAGGAAAAUGGCUCCGUAUCCAGCAGUGAGACAACAUUACCACCACCACCAAAGAAAUUAGCCGUCCUCCAUAUACAGUGGAAGAAGAGGAGGAUGAUUGGGGGGAAGAUACAAGUGAGGAAGCUCAAAGUCUCAGAAUGGAUGAAAUCAGUGAUCAUGCAAAAGUUCUGAUACUCCGUGAUGAUUUGGAAAGAACAGUUGAGGAGUGGGCCAACAUCCUGUUUGAUUUUGUGAAGAAAAAGAAAGAAGAGGGUAUCAUUGAUUUAUGUGACAAAGAAACUGUUGCUGAAGCAGAAGGACUGGAUGUAAAAGCCAUGGGCCCUCUUGUUCUGACUGGAGUUCUUUUUAAAGAGGAGAUUAGAGAACACAUAAGAAAUACAGGCACCAUUUCCUAUGAUUUUGUCACAACAACAAAGCUCAAUGGUACCUUCCUCGUGGUUUGACGUGUGGCGUAGCAAUGCACCAAGCUCACCUCAUCUCCAAGAUUCCACAUAUCUUGAAGGAGAUGUAUGAUGUAGAUUUUUUAGAAGAAGAGGUCAUCAUCAGCUGGUCGGAAAAAGGCCUUUAAGAAAUAUGUCUCAAAAGAACUAGCCAAAGAGAUUUGUGUCAAAGCAGAACCAUUUAUAAAAUGAAGGAGGCAGAGGAAGAAUCUUCUGGUGGUAAAGAAGAUGAAGAUGAGAGCAUUGAGGUGGAAUAUUAGAAGACUGUCAGUGCACCUAAAGUUGAAACUGUAGAGUCUAAAAACAAGGAUGAUGACAUUGAUAUUGAUGCCAUUUAAUGGGAUGGAUGCAACCUAGUUUAACAGUGUAAUGCUGCAAAUUCUUCUCCAUUAUCAGCCAGAAGCACAACAUGUAUGUGCAAAAGCUAAAAUGGCUUAACAUCAAGCUACACUAUACACUAAAAAUCUAUUACUGUGAGUGCUCUGUAAUUAAGCCCAAUGAGACAUCUAGGGAGUCCAUACACACAUUAGUGAGCAGAUGCAGUUUGCUUAUUUAUAGCAUGUUUCUUUUUGAAAAACUGGUGGUGAACACAUUUGGAUCACAUUUAUACAGUUAUAAAAAUAAAGAUUUGAUUUUGGUCAUUCUUCAGAUAUUUGGUUCUGAAUGACUUAACCUGAAGCAACUGGCUCCAUUUUCAAAUGUUACAUCAUCAUUUCACCUGACAAGCAUUCUUGGAGCCUGCUAGAUAUUGUUAGGUGCUGAGGCUGUAAAGAGGUCUUCAACAGGAUGUAAAGCAAACUUAUUUGUAAUUACCUUAUUCAGCCCAUUAAGAAAUAAUACUACUUAAGUUUUAUCUCUAGUCCCUCCAAUUGGCAUCUGGUAAUGUACACUGUAAGGUAGACUGAUAAUCACAUGACAGUGCAACAUCCUACUGAGAAGUAAAUAUGACCUGAGUGUCCUAGAAAUAAUUUAACAGCAGGUUUUGAAACUUGGAGAGUUGCUUUCUCAUUUCAUGUACACUUGCCCUAAAUUGUAGUCUCUGAAGUCGUGUGCAUUGCACGUUGGAUGAGCCAGGGAAGUUAUUACAUUAACAACCAUUUUGUGUGUAUGUAGUAGUUGCUUCAUACUGAGAGAACUCGCUUUGGGGUGCAAUUAAACAAUAAACUGAUUUUAUUUGGGGGAAACAGGGAAGGGUGCACUUACUAGCAAACCUAAGCAUUAAUUUUCAGCUUUUGCCCUUAUGGUUUAAAUUACAAUUCCAAAAUAUUUAGAC